GGUGGCCUUCAGUGGGUGGCUUAAGUUGGUGGCAUUUGGUUGCCUUUCCUGGGGAGAGGCGGCAGGUGCUCAGCUCUGCAGACGUGGGGGCAAGAGAAGGCCCAAGCUGCCUCGAGAAGAGCAGAGGUGCCCCAUGGGGACCAUGAUGACCGGUCGCAUGUGCCAAAGCCAGCCCCCGGCAGGGCCAGCGCAGGGUUUCUGCGGGGCCGUCCUGUGGCUCUGAUAUCUAUGAGUGGGUGGCCAGCAAAGGCACAGGCACCAGCAGAAAGGAGCAGAGAUGCCCAGAACAUGCUGUCCCCCAAUGCCAGCCCCAAGCGAGGCCAGCUUAGGGUGCGGUGGGCAGAGCCAUCCUGCAGCUCUGAGAUCCACGAAGUGGAGGUGGGAGUAGCGCCAGGCUCCACGGCGUUGGAGCUCUCACAACUUGAGCUCAAUUUUAUUCCGGAGCCAUGACCUGCAGCACAUUGGUGACCAGAAGACGCCCAAAGGCAUUGUGUGAUCAAAGCAAAAUAAAUAUGUUCUUGUUUCUGGAAUUACUAAAGCUUUGAAAAUGGACUUAUCGACCUCAAACCAAUGGGACAUAUUCCUACAUGGCCUUCUCCCCUGUUAGGGUUCCCAGGGUAUGUCUUUAAUGUCUGGUUUAAUAGAAGAAGACUUGGUUCUCCUUUCUGCUUCUAUGUUUAAUUUCUUGUGACAUCCCACGUCAGGUAGCUGGGAAACUCCAAUUAUACUUGUGAGAGAAUGAAAGUGGAAAAGCUGGGCAGAUGUGCCUGAGACAGGUUUGACCAGGCAACUGAAAAGAUAUCCCUAAGAGAAGACAAAGCAAAGGUAUGAAAGGAACACACGUCCCUGACUGACUAGGAGGAACAGAGCUGCCUGCUGUCUGGAACCGCUUCCUCCCAGACUAAGAGAGAAAUAAACUUCUGUUUUCUAU
rnacentral:lncRNA from 1 species